rnacentral:snRNA from 1 species
AUCAUUUCUUGGCCUUUUGGCUAAUAUCAUAGUAUCUGUUCGUAUCAGUUUGAUAUCUGAGACAUCAUCUAUCCGAGGACAAUAUACUAAGUGGAUUUCUGGAGCAGAGGGAUGGAAUAGGAGCUUGCUCCGUCCUCUCCGGGCAUCGACCUGGUAUCGCAGUACCUCUGGGAAUGGUGCACUCCCU